ACCCGCUGAACUUAAGCAUAUCAAUAAGCGGAGGAAAAGAAACCAACCGGGAUUACCUCAGUAACGGCGAGUGAAGCGGUAACAGCUCAAAUUUGAAAUCUGGCUCCCUCGGAGUCCGAGUUGUAAUUUGUAGAAGAUGCUUUGGGCUGUGGGUUCGGCCUAAGAUCCUUGGAACAGGACGUCAUAGAGGGUGAGAAUCCCGUAUGUGGCCCGAGGCCUGCGCCCGUGUAAAGCUCUUUCGACGAGUCGAGUUGUUUGGGAAUGCAGCUCAAAAUGGGUGGUAAAUUUCAUCUAAAGCUAAAUAUGGGCCAGAGACCGAUAGCGCACAAGUAGAGUGAUCGAAAGAUGAAAAGCACUUUGGAAAGAGAGUUAAACAGUACGUGAAAUUGUUGAAAGGGAAGCGCUUGCACCCAGACUUGGGCGCUGCUGAUCAUCCAGAGUUCUCUCUGGUGCACUCGACAGCGCACAGGCCAGCAUCGGUUCGGGUGGCUGGAGAAAGACUGGAGGAACGUAGCUCCCUUUCGGGGGAGUGUUAUAGCCUCUGGUGCCAUGCAGCCCAGCCGGACCGAGGACCGCGCCUUCGGGCUAGGAUGCUGGCGUAAUGGGUGUAAGCGACCCGUCUUGAAACACGGACCAAGG
rnacentral:rRNA from 1 species